UUGGAGGGCAAGUCUGGUGCCAGCAGCCGCGGUAAUUCCAGCUCCAAUAGCGUACAUUAAAGUUGUUGCAGUUAAAAAGCUCGUAGUUGAAUUUCGGGAUCAAUUUAUUGGUCGUGCCAACGGUACGCACUGGUACAAUUGGUUUCUCCCUUCUGACGAAGCAUGAUGUCAUUAAUUUGAUGUCGUGGGGAAUCAGGACUGUUACUUUGAAAAAAUUAGAGUGUUUAAAGCAGGCUUUGGCUUGAAUACAUUAGCAUGGAAUAAUGAAAUAGGACGUUUGAUCUUAUUUCGUUGGUUUCUAAGAUCGACGUAAUGAUUAAUAGGGAUAGUUGGGGGCAUUAGUAUUCAAUUGUCAGAGGUGAAAUUCUUGGGUUUAUUGAAGACUAACUACUGCGAAAGCAUUUGCCAAGGAUGUUUUCAUUAAUCAAGAACGAAAGUUAGGGGAUCGAAGACGAUCAGAUACCGUCGUAGUCUUAACCAUAAACUAUGCCGACUAGGGAUCGGAUGAUGUUAAUUUUUUAAUGACUCAUUCGGCGCCUUACGGGAAAC
rnacentral:rRNA from 1 species